GGAUUAUUGGUAUGAAAGUCAGUGAAGUACUGUUAUAGUUCAAUGUACUUUUCUGGUGGUAUAGGUAUAUAGUUACAAUUAAGCCAUAUAUUUCAAAUACUUUUCAAUACACUUUAGUCAUCAUUGCUUCAUACAAAACAUCAUUUGACAUCACAAAAAAGGGUACUUUCUGAAGCAUGAAAAAGGUGCCAGGAAAUGGCUAGAAUGCAGGAUUUUGCAUCAUUUACCCCAGAGCUUCUGGGGGCCUUGAGCAGCCCCCAGACCCC
rnacentral:lncRNA from 1 species